CAGGUAUGGCGAGGACAGCUCAUCAUUCAGAGAAAAUGUCUCCUUCAAGGAUUCAACCCUCUGCUAGAUGAAGUUGUUUGAAAAGGCAGCUGUAACUUAUGUUGUGUAGAAAGUGAUGAGACGGCAGAUGAUGAUGGUGAAUGUUUCAACAUGCUGCUCUCACUUUGUUUCCCCCGCCAGUGUGGAGCACGGUGGAGUGUGGAGACUGAAACCAGCUCUAGAGAAGUGUAAGUGUCUGUUUGAUUCAUCACAAUGCACACUGACUAUUGAGCUGGAAAGUCCAUCCACACAGCAGGAGGUGACGUCUGUUCAUUCAGAUAUCUGGGAAUGAAGCUGAUGACUGACAUCAUGUAUCUUACAUAUAUAAACAUUAACAUAAUUGCUGUGAUUAUAUCAGGAGUGAUGAUUUUACAACAUUGGACAUAACACCAUAAUAAUCAGGAUACUGUUAAUCAUAAUUACAUGUCUAUAUUAUAUUCAAAAACUAUUAAAUUAAACUAUCAUCUUGUCACCAUUAUAAUAAUUAUAAUAUUGUUUUAAUUCCUGUCAUUACAUUAGCUAUGGCGCAUAAUAAUCAUAUUAACAUGUUUUGAAUGAUGCAUGUGUUUCACCUUAGAUUUAAAUUAGAGCUGGUGAUGCUGUUUAUUUAAUAUUGAUGACGAUGAUGAUGAUGAUAAUUAUAAUUAAUAAUAUUGGUUUAGCAGCCUAAUCAUGUUUCUCCCGUCAGAUGCCUGUGAACUCACACUGGACCCCAACACAGCCCAGAGUCGACUCUCUCUGUCUGAGGACAGCAGGAAGGUGACGCGGGUUGAAGAGAAACAGUCGUAUCCGGAUCACCCAGAGAGGUUUGACGCCCAGCACCAGGUGUUGUGUAGAGAGGGUCUGACUGGCCGCUGCUACUGGGAGGUAGAGUGGGGAGGACGGGUUUAUAUAGGAGUGGCAUACAGAGGAAUAGCAAGGAGAGGAGUGGGUGAUAACAGCAGGCUUGGAUGGAACAACAAGUCCUGGAGUCUUGAUUGUGAUGACGACGAUGAUGCUCUCUACACUGCCCUUCACAACGGUAGUAGAACAUCCAUACGUCUCCCCCCCCCUCACUAUAACAGAGUAGGAGUGUAUCUGGACCGGCCUGCUGGCUCUCUGUCCUUCUACAGAGUGUCCCCAGGAGGAGGAGGGUCCUCAGACACACUGACACACAUCCACACCUUCCAGGCCUCCUUCACCCAGGAGGACCUCCUCCAUGGGUUUAGGUUAUGUAACAGUGGUUCCUCAGCGUCUCUGGGAGUGUCCAUUGUAGAUACACAAACACACAAAAAGACCCAUGGAAAAGCACGCACAUGUAAACAGUCAUAAACACACCCAAACCAACAAACACAUAUGUACAUAGAAAUUAACACACACACACAAACAAACACAUCGUUCAUGACUCUACAAACACACACACACGCAAGCACACACAAACAAGCACAUCGCACUCUAUAAACACACACACACACACGUAUUUACACAGACAUGCACUCACACACACACACGUCGUUCAUGGAUCUAAACCCACAGCAGGUCAGCGUGCCGGGGGUCAGCAGCGGGUCACAUCAGUGCACAGCAGGUCAGCGUGCCGGGGGUCAGCAGCGGGUCACAUCAGUGCACAGCAGGUCAGCGUGCCGGGGGUCAGCAGCGGGUCACAUCAGUGCACAGCUGCCAACUCUCCCGUUUUUCCCGGGUUUCUCCCGUUUUCUGAUCCAUCUCCCGCCGCCCUCCCGUUUUGUCAUUUCUCCCGGUUAACUCCCGUAUUUCACGAUGUCCAAACUUAUUUUUAUUUAUAAUCAAAUCAAAAUGUGUGUCGAAUGUUCUAAAGUUGCCAGAUCAUGUAUCAAACGCAAGCAUGAGAGGCAACGCAAGCGUCAGCCAAUCAAAUGCAUUUGCAGCAAAUACGACAGCACAGGCUGUAGCCAAUCAGAUCACGUCUAUGGUCACUUCUCAAGAGCGCAGAGCUAAAAAAAAAAACAUGGCGGAGCAAACUCCGUAAAUGGUCGCAUAAAAAUGGCAGAAGCGGGUGUACCAUCGAAGAAGAUUAAAUAUAUGUGUACUUUUAAGUCGGAAUGGACCAAAGAGUAUGAUUCAAUAUCAAAUAGUCACCUGGACAAUAGUCACGCUUUUUGUAAAGCGUGUCGGGUUGAUUUUAAUAUAGGGCACGGCGGUAAAAAUGACGUCCGUCAACAUUUAAAGUCCCUGAAACAUGUCCGUGCUGCCGGGGCACAAAAGGGCACUCAGGCGAUAACGGGUUUCAUCACUAAGGGACAAAACGAGCAGGAACCAGUGCUCCAGGCUUGGAUGUUUUCAUUGUGAAUACAUACAUAAUGAUACAUAAAAAAUACGUUUUUUGUUAAUGAAUACAGUUAUUGUGUAUUUAUUUAUAUACUGAAGACUACAUGAUGUAUAUGUUGUCUAUAAAUAGCUACUUAUAUGCACAACAUCCCUUAAAACCAAACAUUUGUAACCACCUCUGUCAUCCAUGCUCCCCACCACCGGCCCCGCCCCCCGCCGCCGAAAUCUCCCGGAUUUUGCUAGUCAAAUGUUGGCAGGUAUGCAUCAGUGUCUCUCGUGGUUCAUCUCUCAGCCCUCUCUGUGUUCAGCUGGGCUGCUGAGCGUCAGAUUAGAGGGGGCCGCUUGGGUCUGGGGGUCCUCACAGUCCUGACGUUGUUGAGGACCGGCUGUUAGGGGGACGUUUGAAUACCUGUGGACCCAUGGACAUACCUGUAGUGCAUCGGAUUGUUGAGCAGCGGCUGUUGUUGCUCUGAGGGGUCAACCCGUUCAGUGGAAGUACAACACUUUGUGUUUGAUUUAAAUACUCCACUGAACUCCAAAUGCUGCAUUUUAUUGGGCUUCUGGAAGGUUCAGCAUAAACCAUGAAACGAAGAUCUUCCUUUGGUUUAAGCCGGUUGUACAAAGAUUUACUUUCUAAUGUAAAAUGUGUUUUAAAUGUUUAUUGAGUGUUAUUUUACUACAAUAUUUUAUAUAUUUUCAACACCGUUUUAAAGGAAUCCAAAAUCAGUUUAUAUUUUGCCAUGCCUGACAUGGAACGUGAUUUAAAGCAGAUUUAACAACAUAAUCAUGAAUGAUGAUAAGAGUUCUAUGGGAAAGGGUAACGAUGUUGUAAAUUACUUUCAACGGAAGAUCGUUUCUUUGUGUUCUUUUGGGAACAAGUCAACAUGUUCAGUCAUUAAAGAUGCCUUAUGAUUUGUAAUUGUUCAUAAAUCAUAAUGUUAAUAAACUGCUCAGUGGGUCAAAUGAA